CCUACGGGAGGCAGCAGUGAGGAAUAUUGGUCAAUGGCCGGGAGGCUGAACCAGCCAAGUCGCGUGAGGGAAGACGGCCCUACGGGUUGUAAACCUCUUUUGUCAGGGAGCAAGGUGCAGGUCGGGACCUGCUGUGCGAGUACCUUAUGAAAAAGCAUCGGCUAACUCCGUGCCAGCAGCCGCGGUAAUACGGAGGUGGCAAGCGUUAUCCGGAAUGACUGGGCGUAAAGGGUGCGUAGGUGGUUUAGUAAGUUGGCGGUGAAAGUCCGGGGCUCAACCGCGGCGCUACCGCCGAAACUAGUAGGCUAGAGUGCAGGAGGGGUAAGUGGAAUUCCUAGUGUAGCGGUGGAAUGCGUAGAUAUUAGGAGGAACAUCAGGGGCGAAGGCGACUUACUGAACUGUAACUGACACUGAGGCACGAAAGCGUGGGGAGCAAACAGGAUUAGAUACCCCAGUAGUC
rnacentral:rRNA from 1 species